UUUUACAAAAUGUCUGAGACAAACCACAAAGGAAAAUAAUUUCCCACCCACGCUACCAUCACUCCAGAAGACAAAAAAGCUUCCCUACACCAAAGGAGAGCAGAGCCUGGGGACAAGAAUGUCAUAAGAAAAGGACCCCCCAGAAAGACAGUGGCUACAGCCAGCCUCUGUGCAAGGA
rfam:Ailuropoda melanoleuca scaffold396_97, whole genome shotgun sequence.